CCUACGGGAGGCAGCAGUGAGGAAUAUUGGUCAAUGGGCGGGAGCCUGAACCAGCCAAGCCGCGUGAGGGAAGAAGGUACAGCGUAUCGUAAACCUCUUUUGUCAGGGAACAAAGGCGGGGACUAGUCCCCGGAUGAGGGUACCUGAAGAAAAAGCAUCGGCUAACUCCGUGCCAGCAGCCGCGGUAAUACGGAGGAUGCGAGCGUUAUCCGGAUUUAUUGGGUUUAAAGGGUGCGCAGGCGGUCUGUUAAGUCAGCGGUCAAAGCCCGGGGCUCAACCCCGGCCCGCCGUUGAAACUGGCAGUCUCGAGUUGGAGAGAAGUAUGCGGAAUGCGCGGUGUAGCGGUGAAAUGCAUAGAUAUCGCGCAGAACUCCGAUUGCGAAGGCAGCAUGCCGGCUCCACACUGACGCUGAGGCACGAAAGCGUGGGUAUCGAACAGGAUUAGAUACCCCGGUAGUC
rnacentral:rRNA from 1 species